GACGAACGCUGGCGGCGUGCUUAACACAUGCAAGUCGAACGAUGAAGCGGUGCUUGCACCGUGGAUUAGUGGCGAACGGGUGAGUAAUACGUGAGUGACCUACCUUUGACUCUGGGAUAAGCCUGGGAAACUGGGUCUAAUACCGGAUAAGACCAAUCUCUGCAUGGGGUGUUGGUGGAAAGCGUUAUGGAGUGGUUUUAGAUGGGCUCACGGCCUAUCAGCUUGCUGGUGAGGUAAUGGCUUACCAAGGCGACGACGAGUAGCCGGCCUGAGAGGGUGAGCGGCCACACUGGGACUGAGACACGGCCCAGACUCCGACGGGAGGCAGCAGUAGGGAAGAGUACACAAGGGGCGCAAGCCUGAUGCAGCGACGGCGCGGGAGGGAGAACGGCCUUCGGGUUGUAAACCUCUGUUAGCAUCGAAGAAGCGAAAGUGACGGUAGGUGCAGAGAAAGCGCCGGCUAACUACGUG
rnacentral:rRNA from 1 species